rnacentral:lncRNA from 1 species
AAUUUACCCUCCAGACAGGAUUUUCCAAACUCUUCCCAGUAUUCCAGGAGUGGAGGAGCAGGAUGCUGAGCAGCCCUGGGUCCACGGCCAGAACAUUCUGUACACUGGCACAACGUUGCCUGGUCUAUCAGGUUGCAAAGAAGCUGCAGAAGCAACCUCCCUGCCAAGCCAAUACCUCAAUGACUCUGGCUUCCAGAGAAGAAUGCAGGCAGUUACCACUAAUGUGUCCCCUCACCCCAUCUCAGCAGAUCAAGCCGAAGAUUUAGUCGUCUUCCGCAGGAAAUCCAAGAAUGACUGCAUGACGGCUACCUGUGAUAUCAAUUCUGCUGCCCCAGACCGGUGCCGGCAAACCAAGUCAGCUUUCCUCGAGAGGGUUCCACUGAGUGAGAUCUAUCACAUAUCCAAUGCUGUUCUGAUCAGGGCACCUUCUGUACCCUGUGAGUACAUGAUUGUAGUGCAGUCAGACAAGGUCCCGAAGACCAUGGUGUUUCAGAGAGUCUCGUCAGUCAGUAAGACAAUGAGGAACACCCGAACAGCAGCAGCUUGUGGUGAUGAUGCCACUGGUUCCCCAGGUAACACCCAGCCUGACUGCACACCAUGUUUCACCCCGCCUACAGCCCCAUCGCAGGUGGUCAAAGAUCAGCCAGACACCCAAUUGGUCAAGCCCCUAGCGCUGACUGAGGACACUCAGCUUUCUGGUGAUGGAAAUAGGGAUCUCCUAACCCAACCUGGUUGCAAUCCUCUUUCACCUGGAGAUAAUUCUGUUUACAAGCACAUGGACAUAAAUAUAGCAUUACCUGAUCCGAAUGCCUACAACCCAUACAUCAAUGAAAUGAUAGUGGAUCAAAUGAACUGGGUGAAUGAAGAUGUUUCAACCAUGGUGUCAGAUGAUAUAAUAGCCCCUGGUAUUAUGGGUCCUGUCAACUCAGCACUUCAGGAUGGAUGUUUCCCCACUGCAGUACCUGAUGUGAACGGGUACAACCCCUACAUGAAUGAGAUGAUACUGGAUCAAAUUAAUGGGGUGAACUUUGGUGUUUUAUCCAAGGUGUCUGAUGAGAUGACAGGCGUCAAUGUUAUGGGCCCACCCAUCUCAGCACCACUGGAGACAAAGGAUACAAGUGUGGUGAACAUUCCUGUGUGUCAACCUAUUUUAGCUCCACAAGAAGCAUGUGCCCCCAGUUUGGUGUACCCUCCAACUUCAGCACAAGAAACAUGUGCCCCCAGUUUGGUGUACCCUCCAACUUCAGC